UGGCUCACUUGCGGCGUCGUCGUCGUCAACCUCAGUUUCGUGACUAGGCUCGCUGGGCCGAACCAUCUCCACGAUCUCAGCGUCCGACAAGGAAGUCUGUUGCUUCGAGCCUCCCGAAUCCAGAUGAGCAGCGCUUGCUCUAACUCCGGGUGGGCGCCGGUGCGCAUUCUCUUGCGAGACAUCUUGAACUGGUCAUUUUCGAAUGCGUCCAGUACCGAGCGCUUGUUCUUCAGGAUGUUAGACAGGGUAUUAGGCUUGAUGCCGUAUUUCCGCGCAAUAUCUUGCUUGGCGGUGCCUCCUUGUUCAACUUCUUUCAAAAUUUUGACUUUCGUUGCCAAGUCAAGCGUCCGAUAAGGCCCGCGAGUUGCCAUAGUAAAUGCACGUGGAGCUUCGUCGCACGUGGAAACGCUGAGUCCGCACACGACCGUAACGAGAUCAACAAUGAGGCCCGGAACCGGAACCGCCGGAGCAGCCGCUUCAUGAUCUGGGGCGCUGCAUGCAACUGCGAUGCCAUCAGCUGACGCUUUGAGCUGCGGCGCUGUGGUCAACUGCGAUGCCCUUGGGUGCCGGUCGCACACGCAUUGUUGUUUAGCACUUCAAAAAUAGGAAAUUUAACAAACAUUACGAUUUCCUCCGGGAAUUCGAUUGAAAAUAAAUUCGAAUUAACCGAAA